UACAGAGGUCCCAAGCGUUGUUCGGAUUCACUGGGCGUAAAGGGUGCGUAGGUGGUGAGGUAAGUCGGAUGUGAAAUCUCCGAGCUCAACUCGGAAACUGCAUUGGAAACUACCUUGCUCGAGGGUUGGAGGGGGGACUGGAAUGCUUGGUGUAGCAGUGAAAUGCGUAGAUAUCAAGCGGAACACCAGUGGCGAAGGCGAGUCCCUGGACAACUCCUGACACUGAUGCACGAAAGCCAGGGUAGCGAACGGG
rnacentral:rRNA from 1 species